GCCGGUAUAGUUUAAAUGGUUAAAACACUCAUCUCAUAAGUGGGUUAUGUAGGUUCAAUUCCUUCUUCCGGCU
rfam:Taphrina deformans PYCC 5710, WGS project CATL01000000 data, contig: scaffold00003, organelle: mitochondrion